UUGAGCCGGAUGAAAAGAAACUUUCACGUCCGAUUUUGAAAGGGGGAGAUCCUAUAGUAUCCUAUCCAAAUUUUUCUUUUGCUAGGCCUAUAGCUAAAAACCUACUUUCU
rnacentral:ncRNA from 1 species